AGCAGCCGCGGUAAUUCCAGCUCCAAUAGCGUAUAUUAAAGUUGUUGCAGUUAAAAGCUCGUAGUUGAAUUUCGGGAUUGGCGCAUCGGUCGUGCCUCACGGGGUAUGAACUGGUGCAGUCAAUUUCUCACCUUCUGGAGAACCGCGAUGUCCUUAAUUGGAUGCCGCGGGGAACCAGGACCUUUACCUUGAAAAAUUAGAGUGUUUAAAGCAGGCAUUUUUGCUUGAAUACAUUAGCAUGGAAUAAUAAAAUAGGACGGCAUGGUUCUAUUUUGUUGGUUUCUAGGACCACCGUAAUGAUUAAUAGGGAUAGUUGGGGGCAUUAGUAUUCAAUUGUCAGAGGUGAAAUUCUUGGAUUUAUUGAAGACUAACUACUGCGAAAGCAUUUGCCAAGGAUGUUUUCAUUAAUCAAGAACGAAAGUUAGGGGAUCGAAGACGAUCAGAUACCGUCGUAGUCUUAACCAUAAACUAUGCCGACUAGGAAUCAGACGAUGUUAAUUUUUAAUGACUCGUUUGGCAC
rnacentral:rRNA from 1 species